ACAGGCAUGAAUAAUGUUGAAACCAUAUUUUAUUUCGCAAGCGGGAUAUCCUAAACUAAAUUGUUAGGAAUUAAUGACACUAUCAUUCACAUUUCAAAAUGUGACGUAACUUAAAGAAUUAAAAUGUAGAUUUACCACAUGUUACUGCUGUG